AUGGGGUCCAUUCCCACUGUCACUGCUCUGGGCUGGUACUAUGAGCAGUAUGAGAAGGAUUACGAGAAGGCCGCACAUCUGUGGGAAGAAGCUGAUGCCAAAUGUCACCCUGAAGCUGCCAUGAAUUUGCGAGUUUUCUACUCUCAGGGCCUCUAUCCUGGACAACUUGCCGACCAGGUAAACACUCUGCUCAACAUGCUUACGUGCUUCAAACCUCUAAUUAAUCUAAUAAAGAGUUUCUUUAACUAUGACUUAGCUUGCUCAUCAGUUCAUCAUGUGUGUGUGUGUGUGUGUGUGUGUGUUGUGUGUGUGUGUGUGUGUGUGUGUGUGUGUGUGUGUGUGUGUGUGUGUGUGUGUGUGUGUGUGUGUGUGUGUGUGUGUGUGUGUUCAUUUUGAGUGGCCACAGAGUUAUAUUAAUCUAUAAUUCUCAUAAUAUUAAAUUACAACAUGAAUGUCCUUUUAGAUUUCAUUUACAUUAUAAAAGGAUGAUGCAAAGGCCACUUUCUAUUGUUUAUUUCGUCCUCUCACUCUCUCUCUCUCUCUCUCUCUCACUCUCUCUCUCUCUCUCUCUCAUUGUUGCAGGAUCUUGUCUUUGAUUUAUUAUCUGAGUGCAGCAGAGAGUGGAUUUGAAGCAGCUCAGUUUAAUGUGGCGUACCUGUGUGAACUCAACUCAGUGAGUCCAUUCUAAACACUUGCUUUAGAUUCAGAUGAACAUGUUCACUCGAUUGGCUUUGACAGAUAUUUUAUAUCUUUAUAUUGCAGGGCUCUUUGGAUCCAGCGCUGGUGACUCAGUGCAUAUUAAGAUAUUAUAACAUGUCGAUACAGACUCAAGAUCCGGCUCCGUACGGUAGUUGUAACAAAUCCAAGACUAAAAUACAAAUUAAAAUGAUUUUAAAUAAAAAAGUUAUAACAAAUAUAAAAUGUAAAAAACUUUACUGGAAAGUAUUAUUUUUUUUCAAAUACAUAUUUUUAUGGGAAAAGCUAAUAAUUAAAAAAGAAUAAUGUUUAUUUGUCAUUUUUUAAUUUUAUGUAUUUAUAGUUAAAAAAUUUCCAUUUUCAUGUUAGGGUCUAAUCUUUUAUAUUUCAUCUGAAAAGGUUGACAACUGCUGCAGUAGAAUAUAAAAUGAAUGUAAUUUAGUGUGAGAUACAGAGUGGCAGUCAUUUAUCUUUGUGAACUGAAACGCUCGUCAUGAAGGACACCUGAGGUUUGACUCGAUGUCCUGCGUCAGUGCAUCAGUACAUGUGUGCUCUUUCUCAAGCUCCCUGUUGCUUAAGCUGGAGUCUCUGCAUGUGGUGAUGGAUGUCUGUUUCCCUCUCAGCUUUGAUCAGAAUGGGAGAUCUGUUCUACGGUGAACAGGCUUUGGGCAGAAAAGAGGUUUCUGAUGCAGCAGAGAUGUACAAGCAAGCAGCACUCAAGAAAAAACCACAGGUACCCAUGACAACAAAUGAUCAAGAAUCGUAAUUAUUUAAUAAAUGAUUAUUUAAUGAUUAUUGAAUGAUUAUUUAGUCAUUAUUUGGAAAAAUAAUAAUAAGUAGUUUAUGUUUGUUUGUUUGUUUGUUCGAACAAGGUAUGUUUAUUUAUUUGUUUAUUUAGUUAGUUAUUCUUACAAGCUAUAUUUAUUAGAUUUUUUUGUUUUUGUUUUAAGAGGCUGUAUUUGUUCUAACAAGUAUUAUUUAUGUCUUAGUUUGUUUGUUCGUUUAUUUGUUCUAACAAGUGAUAUUUGUUUCUUUAAAAAAACUAUGCACGUUGAUCAUUUGUUCCAAGAAGCUCUGUUUUGUUUGCUCUAACAAACUUUGUUUCUUCUAACAAGCUAUUUGUUUGUUUUGAUUUGUUCUAACAAGUAUUUCUGUGUUUGAUUUGUGAUUUUUCUACAAGCAAUAUUUUAUUUUAACAGCAAAAUUAUUUAUUAAUUUGCUUUAAUGCACAAUUUUUAUUUGUUCUAAUAGGAUUUUCAUUUAUUUCUUUUUUUCCAAGUUGUUUUGUUUGGUUUGUUUUUUCAAUGAAUUGAGAUUUGAUUUCCUGUCUCUUCAGCGUUGGUAUAAUCUUGGCCCGCUUGUCCAAAAUGGAGAGUCUCUGCCGUUCGGUGUGCUUUCUGAGCUUAAUUUGCUCCAUCUUCACUUAACAGACAGACAGAAGCUUCUCAGCACCCUUUACCAAAGGUAAAACAACCCCACAAUCAUGAAACAUUCAGACUGGCAUUAUUCACUUCAGAUGGCUCAGUUGUACUGUUCUAACAACCUAUUACAACAUGGACCUUUUUCUCCACCUUUUCCAUAGAUGUCAAGAGACCAAUAGCACUGAUGCCUACCUGCCCUACACACUGGCACUGUUCAGCACACACCUGCAAUCUAUACAGCUACAUCAGGAUACAUAAAGGUCAGUUUAUUUUUGUCUUUAAAGUAGAAAUAUUGACUUUUGGAUGUCUGGAACCAAAAGCAUACUGUAACCAAGCAAGUCAGUCAACAACGAAAAAGAAAAGAAAAAACAGCCUAAAUGAACUCCUUGUUGUUUAAUUUGUUUAAUAGUUUAUAAUUGCAUGAUCGCCUCAUGGGGAAGCUCCUGUGGUUACUGUGUUAAGAAAAUAAUGAUUAUUCUCUGAGAUUGUUUAAUGAUGAGGGACUAAUUUUCACAAGUAGAUGUUUUCUCUGUUGCUGUAGCUUAUUGCUCAUUUGUCUUUUGAAUUUGGACUAAUUAAAUGGAGGACAACACACUCCACCAAACAUCUGCUUCCAGCCAAAUCCAAGGGGAGGAAGAGGAGGAAUCAUAAAGAAAUCCACUACAUAAUUUUAACUACUACACAACUUAAUAUUUUUUUUUUUAAACAAGUCUCGAUAUUGUAUAUGGUUUUCCUCCAUGUAAAGACUUUGUUUACUGUUUUUAACAGGAAUCAUUUUUUAACCCUCAUUUUUGUUUUAUUAAGAGAAAAAAAAAUGCAGUAUAACUUGAAAUUUUGUUGUAAAAGAAGCACAGUCUAACAUUUAACUACACAAUUCUGUUUAAAUAAAGCAAUAUACAUUUAGCUUAUAUUCAGGUGGAAGGGAUAGAUCACCCAAAAAUGAAAAUCCUGUCACUGAUUCACCCUCAAGUUGUUCCAAAACUGUAUGAGAUUCUUUCUCCUGUUGAACAUAAAAGGUGUUUCGAAGAAUGUUACAAGGUAACAAAUCAGUUGAUGGUAGCCACUGACUACCAUAGUAUGGAAAAAAAUACAGUCAAUGUCAAUUGUCAACUGCUGUUACUGAAAUCCUUUAAAAUAUGUUAUUUUGUAUUUUAUAUCAAAUUUAUGGUGAGCGAAUGAUGACGGCGAACUAUCCCUUUAAACUAGUGGAUAUAAUGUAAAUGAAUUUUUAAAGUACUUUUAAAAAUGUUACAUUUUAAGAUACCUUUCUCCCUCAUUUUUGUCACUUAAAUAAUCAGAAUUUCAAAAAAUGAUAAGUAAUAAGUAAUAUAAAGUAAUAUAAAUAGUUCUUCUGAAUAAAAUUAUAUAUAUAUAUAUAUAUAUAUAUAAUUUUAAUUCCUUUUGUUUCUGAUGUAUAAUUUCUUCUGAGAGUUCUGGCUGUACCACUUUGGUGUCUCAAGAUUAACUCAUUUUUCCCUUUCUCGGAGUCGGGCCACUCUGCCUGUGUCUAAUGAAAGAGUGCAAGGACUCCCCAGGCUUCUUUGCAGACUGAUGCAAACAGCAGGUGUGCAGCAGGCUGUGAUGUGCCUACGGCCACACCGGGGCCCCGGGAACACACACCGCAGCUCACACUUAAUUAAAACAACACCAAAAGCAGACUAAUCCUCAGAGAGAGGGAGUGCACCACACUGUGUCAAGUAUCCAAUCAUCAGGGGAUGGUAAUCUUAUUGCGUUUACAUGCAAAUAAUGUGAUGCUUACUGUGAGACCCAUUCUGGUGCCUUGUCAUGAUUUAUGCAUUUUGUUUGUGCUCUUGGGCUAACUUACAAUAUACCUAAUAUAAAGAUAUUUAUUAAAAAGUUUUUCUAAAUUGUUUAGGGAAUAUGUUGGAUUCGCCCCACCAUUCAAUCACUGUAAUAGCUAAAGAAACAUGUUUUAAAGUCCUCAAUCAUCAUAAAAAAUUGCGUCUGAGCUGUCUUUCUCCCCGGCUGGCUUCUAUAUAUAAUUGCUGAGCUAAAAGGCACCAGAGGAGUGUUAGAUAUUUGCCACUUUUGGUACAAAAUAGGGCUUGCAAAUCUGAUGUGUAAGUCAAAGUAAUUGAAAGGAGGUGCUUAGUCUUUCAAAUAUGUUUUUCAUCCAUACCAGGAAUUCAAACUAAAUGUUAGCUUUAUUAUUAUUAUUAUUAUUUUGCAUUACCAAAUGUUGCUUUGCAUGGUAGUUAUGAUUAACUUUUCCAAACGUUUUAAAAAAUAUAUAUUAAUUUGAUCCAAUUAAAAACAGAUACUUUAAUUUGUUAUAAUAUUUCACAAUAUUAGACUUUUCAAAAAACAAAACAAAAAAAAUUAUCCUAUUCAUAGAAAGUUUAUUUUAUUUUAUUUUAUUUUAUUUUAUUUUAU
ensembl:lncRNA